rnacentral:tRNA from 1 species
GCUCCGUUAGUCUAGCACGGUCAAGGAUUCGGCCCUCUCGAGGCCGAGACCCGAGUUCAAAUCUCGGACGGAGCA